CGAUCCUUUCCCCAAAACCCUCUCUCUCUCUCUCUCUCUCUUCUCCGGCGAAUGAAUGAUCGGAGCUCCGGCGAUAUCUCAUUAAGUGUAGGCUAAUACUGCGGAGGAAAGCGAGGUGGUGAAGAUUUCCAACGAAGGAGACCAGAAUCUUGAAGAUAACGUAGCACUCGCGCUAGGUAGGCCAAAGCGAAGGAGAAAACCCGUCGAUUGUCAUCGAACGGAGGAUUUCCGGGAGAAGAAGAAGCCCCUUCACAUCCCGGAGGGCAAAGGAAUUAAGCUGAGGGACAUCAAGAAGGUGUCUUCAAAUUUGAGAAAGAGAGAGAUUGAUGCUGUUCUGAAAAAUUUUCAUGCUAUUCUUUCUGGGGUAAAGGUGAAGAACAAAGAUCUGAAAAGAAAUAUACUGUGAUUCUCUGGUUUUUUACGGGGUCCUCAAGAGGAGUGAGUUAUCUGUUGUCAAUGAUAUGGAUGAGAAUGCAGUUCUGCAGAUGCUAGAAGAACUUGGUGGCAAUGAGUUACCUGCUGUCAAUGACAUGGAUGAGAAUGCAAUUCUUCAGAUGAUCCGGGGAAUACCAGGUUGGAAGGUGAUGCAAAUCCUGGAAGGCAAGCUGGAGCUUCUAAACCUGAGGAUUUCACCAUUAUUUGUUGCCUUGUAAAACUAUGCAAACAUAGAAAUAGUCAAGCUUGUUUUUGGAUAGUAGUAUGAGGCAGAUUAUAGCCUUCUUGUCUUUGACUUCUAUAUAUAUAUAUAUAUAUAUUGUAAUAUUCUCUUGUAAAAGAUGUACUGAAAAAAAAUUAUUGAAUAAAUAAAACAA